UACGUAGGGUGCAGGCGUUAAUCGGAAUUACUGGGCGUAAAGCGUGCGCAGGCGGUUUGCUAAGACAGGUGUGAAAUCCCCGGGCUUAACCUGGGAACUGCGCUUGUAACUGGCAAGCUAGAGUGUGGCAGAGGGGGGUGGAAUUCCACGUGGUAGCAGUGAAAUGCGUAGAGAUGUGGAGGAACACCGAUGGCGAAGGCAGCCCCCUGGGCUAACACUGACGCUCAUGCACGAAAGCCAGGGGAGCGAACGGG
rnacentral:rRNA from 1 species